UCUACUUAGGCAGAGGGUUGGACUAGAUAAUCUACAAGGUCCCUUCCAACUCUGUUAUUCUGUGAAGUCUUUCAGGUUCCUAAGUGGAACUGCUACCUUUGUUAUUCCUUUUUCGUCCACUAGAUGGCAACAAAUAUGAUAUCUUUCCUUUUCAGAAUAGCAGGUGUUUUAUCAAUCUCAAGAUUGGGGUUUUUUCUUUCUUUUGUAGUUGUCAGGGGUGGAAGCAAUUAAAUUUCACAAGUUUCUUCUACAUCUCCUCAGAAGUCACAUUUGAGUUAACGUUCUCCUUGAGGAUGGCUUCACGAUUUUGGGUAGCCCAGUAUAACCAUCUCAUCCGGAUUCUUUUCUUAUGUUCUCUUGGAAGAGCAAAAACAAUUGAGCAACCUACGUCAGCAACAGCCUUGGAGAGAAACCCAUACCACCUUCGCUGCAAUCUCUCUUCUGUUACUUCAGAAAUGAUCCAAUGGUAUCAGCAAGUUUCUGGGCAGACACCACGGUACCUUGGUGGAGCCUACCCAAGGUAUGACGAUGACAUUGAAAAUCCAAAGGGAAAAUUGUAUUUUUCUGAAGACAAGGCAUCCAGCAGACUCGUGAUCGAUGAAGUCACCCUAGCAGACGCUGCUGUCUAUUUCUGUGUUCUGAAAGACACACAGUGUCUCACGGACGGAUCCGUUGCCUUCAUGAACCUCCUUCAGAGACCCAACAGAGGAGGAGCUAUUGCAAAGUGAGAGAGAGAGAGAGGACGAAGUAGAGAAGAACAUCAGAAGACACUAAGCCAUCCCUUUGUGAUAGGAUCAGAUAUGGUUGUGGCAGGAAGAUUACACUAAACUAAAUUUCCCCUCGAGUUGACUACUUCACCUGGUGAUUCCACAGACACGUGGCUGUGGUUUUCCUGCCAAUCAUAUGAAAGGGUUUCGCUGUGGUUUUCUUCUGCGCUGUAUCGUGUUUACCCGAAAAUAAGACAUCCCCUGAUAAUAAGCCAAAUCUGUCAGCGUUCCAGAAAAAAGUCUUCUUCAAUUAAAAACUCUGAGGCAAGCAUUUUCUCAAAGUUCUAUUUACUAGAAUAGAUAAACUAUUCUAGUAAAUAGACUAGAAUAGUAAACUAAGGAGCCUUGGUGGAGCAGCGGACUAAAGCGCUGUUAAAUAGCACUUAGCUGCCAGCUGCCUGCAAUUACUGCAAGUUCAAAUCUCACCAGGCUCAAAGUUGACUCAGCCUUCCAUCCUUCCGAGGUAGGUAAAAUGAGGACCUGGAU